CGAGUCGGAAAGGGUACCGCUGGAGGUUUACUCCGCCAGAGGAAAGUCCGGGCUUCGCAGGGCAGGAUGCUGGCUAACGGCCAGAGGGGGUGACCCUAUGGAAAGUGCCACAGAAAUUAUACCGCCGAUGGCCCCAAAAGGGAUCAGGUAAGGGUGAAAUGGCGGGGGAGCUGGUCUCCUUAAAGUAAGAGCCCACCGCAGGGGUGGCGACAUCCCUGGCUAGGCAAACCCCAUCCGAAGCAAGUCCAAAUAGGGCAGCAUAUGGGAACGGCCCGUUCCUGCUGCCGGGUAGGACGCACGAGGGGUCGGGUAACCGGCCUCCCAGAUAAAUGGUAUCCACCUCCGCAAGGAGGCACAGAACCCGGCUUAUUGACGGCUCGACUC
rnacentral:RNase_P_RNA from 4 species